GAUGAACGCUGGCGGCGUGCCUAAUACAUGCAAGUCGAGCGAAUGGAUUAAGAGCUUGCUCUUAUGGAGUUAGCGGCGGACGGGUGAGUAACACGUGGGUAACCUGCCCAUAAGACUGGGAUAACUCCGGGAAACCGGGGCUAAUACCGGAUAACAUUUUGAACCGCAUGGUUCGAAAUUGAAAGGCGGCUUCGGCUGUCACUUAUGGAUGGACCCGCGUCGCAUUAGCUAGUUGGUGAGGUAACGGCUCACCAAGGCAACGAUGCGUAGCCGACCUGAGAAGGUGAUGGGGCUCACUGAGACUGAGACACGGCCCAGACUCCUACGGGAGGCAGCAGUAGGGAAUCUUCCGCAAUGGACGAAAGUCUGACGGAGCAACGCCGCGUGAGUGAUGAAGGCUUUCGGGUCGUAAAACUCUGUUGUUAGGGAAGAACAAGUGCUAGUUGAAUAAGCUGGCACCUUGACGGUACCUAACCAGAAAGCCACGGCUAACUACGUGCCAGCAGCCGCCGUAA
rnacentral:rRNA from 1 species